AAGAAAAAAAACAAAAUUAAAUUUGAUUGCAGUCUAAAACCGGCGCCGGUGUGUAAACAGUCGGAGCUGUGGCUAUCCAUGCCGAAAUUGGCUCAUCCGGAGCAGAGUUCUCUGGAUAGUCUCUGGUGAAGUGAAGUGUAUGGAGUUUCUAGUGGAUGGGAACCUGGCCACGCUAAAAUACAAGCAGAUACAUUUAUCUUUUAUGUUACAUCCUUUCAACUGUGAACCACACUUAAGUCUUAUUAGCAGAGGCUUCAUUAGCUUGAAAGUUGAAAACCAAAUCAUAAUCAUGGUUUCCUUAAUUGAACCACCCAGGAAUUGGUAACUCAGUGCUCAUUUUUUUUCUGUUGUGGCAGGAUGUCACAAAUGUUCCCGUGCUACACUUGUAUAAUCAUUUUGGAGGCAAGAAAACAAAACUGCCUGAGAUGGUAGGCUCCUCUUAGAUCGAUUUAAUCCGACAUGAGCAGCUUCAACUUCCUGUAAACCAGAAAGCUCGUAACUUUGCAGAUGUUGAAACCAAGUCGGUCUUUUCUUAUUUGAGCAGUCACAUCAGCGUGAAAUUACUGUGCUUAUUCACUUUAAGUUCAAUUGUGCUGCUUUACAGUAUGUCGUGUCCAAUCUUUUGCACCGGUGGUUAAAAUUUUUUGCUGACUGCCUGCUUGAAGGCAACCUCACAGAGGGAGCCAGCAACCACGAUAAAAAUAAUCGGUAUAACUAAGGCCAGUGACAAAUCAAGGCCAUUGUUAUCAAAGUUUGUUGAUAUUUCAAAGCAAUCUUGUUAUGUAUCUAUCCCUCUUGUGAGUUUUGUGAUAUAUAAAGACGUGACAAAGGAAAUGUGAAAGUAGGGUUGCUUUA